rnacentral:rRNA from 1 species
UAGGGAAUCUUCCACAAUGGGCGCAAGCCUGAUGGAGCAACGCCGCGUGUGUGAUGAAGGCUUUCGGGUCGUAAGCACUGUUGUAUGGGAAGAAAUGCUAGAAUAGGGAAUGAUUCUAGUUCGACGGUACCAUACCAGAAAGGGACGGCUAAAUACGUGCCAG